rnacentral:lncRNA from 1 species
GACAACCCUUUCACUGAGGUAAUUUUUCCUAAUAUCCAGUUUUACAUUCCCCAGCAGAGCUUGUCGCCAUUUUCUCUUGUCUCCUGAUAUGUAUCAUUCCAGUAUCUAGUGUUUACUUGGAAGUUGAGGAAAAUUUUUACCCAGAGUUCUCUGUUAGAUUUCAGGUUUUAUUGCUGAGCUCACAUUUGCUCAAUAUAAACUCUAAAAUAUGUCUGUGUCCAGUUAUCCAGAGGUGAAACUUGAUAGGUACCAAGCAGGAGUUAAUACCUUCAUAGGUUUGCAUAUGACUAUAGAGUGAACCUGACUGUAGUGACUAUUGAAAUGUGUAAUAGUCAUGCAGUAAGGGCAUAUGAGUAUAUAAAUCUGUAUGGCUAAGAACAGGAUAAGAGUAGGUUGGAUAAGAAGUGGCUGUUAACUCAUCUCUUAAAUAGUAUAUGCAGGUAUGUGAUUAUUUUUUACCUAAUAUAUUUCUUCUCUUUCUCUGUACAGUCUUAGUAAACAGCUGGCAGAAUAUGCAGACUGGGAAAACACAGGAGAAGCUUCUACAGGUGAUAGCGCACGAGGCAUCACAGCACUUGGCACUCCACACUGGGCAGCAGCUGCUGGCUUUACAUUGGGUGCACCUGCUGUGGACAGAGGAGGUAAGACCCUUCACCNAUUUUUUACCUAAUAUAUUUCUUCUCUUUCUCUGUACAGUCUUAGUAAACAGCUGGCAGAAUAUGCAGACUGGGAAAACACAGGAGAAGCUUCUACAGGUGAUAGCGCACGAGGCAUCACAGCACUUGGCACUCCACACUGGGCAGCAGCUGCUGGCUUUACAUUGGGUGCACCUGCUGUGGACAGAGGAGAAGGUGCAGUAGUCAAACCUGACACUGUUAAUGAGUGCUUCACAGCAGUUCAGGAAAAACAAAAAAACCACAGGACCUGAAGGUGAAAGACCAACCUCUGUCAUAGUUGAACAUGUGGAUGGUGAAGAUACUGAAGAGGAAUAUGAAGGAGUAGAUGAUAAAGUCUGUAAACCACUGAAACAAGAAAAUGAAAACUUGCACUUAAAUGAGCAAGAGGAUUUGAGAGCAGCAUUUCAUUCAAGCACUGAAGUAAGUACAUAAGGGUGAAUUCCAUCACAAGGGUAUUUUCUAAGGGUCAUAUAUAGGUAAGAAACACAUAGUAAAGUGGAUUUAUUUUAUUGCUUAUCUUUCACAUAUAUCCAUCUUUUCAUCAUCCAUUUUUGAUGUUAGUGUCUUAACUGGAGUCAAAACAGUUUCUUUGCUAAGGUAUGGUAAUAUAGUAUGGAAAAAGAGUAGGCAGUAGACUCUGGAAUCAGUUAGAUUUUUGUCAGUUCUGUUACAGUUUUUAUCCGUGAAGUUUUACUACCAUUUAGGAAAAUUCAUGGUGUGAUAGCUGAAAGUGAGGAAACAAAAAGAAUUUUGAAUAAGAUU